UAUUUUUAUUUUAAGUUUUGCCUUCGUAAGAGAGUUUCCCACCAGCUCCUUUCUUGUAAGGUCUCACAUAUUUAUCUAAUUUCUUAUUGGUCUAUGAAAGAAAUUACCUCGAAUAAUUUGGCAAAAGAGUUUCGUAAGAGGAAGCGUUUGAAAAAUUGUAGGUUCCAUAACUUCAUAUUGCUGGGAGUAUGUUGUAUUAAUAAUCAGACCUGGUAACAAUGACUAGGUAAGAGUCAAAAUUGUGCUGUUUUAAGGGCCUUACAGAGCUUUCACUUCAAUUUCUGUUACCAUUUAAUGCUAUCUGUUCAGAUUGAAGAGUAUUUUUAAUCAUUAUUUUAAGCUAUAUUGGAUGUUUGGUUUUUCCUCUUUUGAUAUUGCUUGUUGCAUUGGAUCCUAUCGACAAAAUAACAAUUCGAAAUAAUCCUAUACGUGGCUUUCAGGCAUCAGGUUCCAGUCUCUCUUUCUUGAACACAAAAAUUGAUUUUAACGUAAGAUUCUGAAAAUUAGUGGUUCAAACUUGAAAGGCCCGUUGUUCUCCUCUUGUACUCUAUCUUCACGUUCAGCUGUGCCUAUUGAAAAUGAUGUGCUUUCUUUUUCUGAAAGUUACUCAUCUCCUUAUUUUAUGCAUUGUUUGAGCAAUAAUAGAUAGAUAGAUUGAUAGAAGAGAUUGAACUUAGAUUCAUACUGUUGUGUAUACUCCUCUGACUCAAGUGGGUUGGAUUAUUUUAUCUAUUACAUGUUUUAGAGCCUUUAUUACCAAUGUAUGUUUCUCUAAGGUCUUAUGAUUGUAGCUAAUCAUCUCGACUCUCAAGACACUUGCUGGUAACUGCGAUAUUUUGAUUUAGUUUAGUGGUAUUUAUUGAUAGUAAACUUAUAGUGAUUUCCGAUUAGAUCCUUUAGGGAAUCCAUAUUCUUCUGUUUGGUGCUUUCAACUUCAGUACUGGAUUGUUUGAUUUGUUGGAACUUCGACAGAAACGCUUUUCUUCUCUUUAUAAUUGUUCUUUGUUAGCACUACCGAUUCCUAUCGGAGUGUUAUCAUCCUCUGAAACAUAUUUUUCUUUUUGGAGAAACUCAAUGUCAAGAACAAUUCUUUAUUGAUAAUACCCCUGAGGUUACAGACCAAAAGCAUGUAGAAUAAUGCCCCAAAUAUAUGGCCAAAAAUAAACAAAAAAAUAGCGCCAGUACAAUGACAAUAACACAUACAUACAAAACAUCAAAAACCAAUCAUACUGAUCAAUGAGAAAGCAGGAAGAUCUUGUAUCUAAUGCCAGAGAAGCGCAACGAGGUAGAUGAACAUUGAUAGGAGAAUUCCACCAUUCGAAAAUGUCACCUGAAAUCCAGUCCCAGCAUCCAUAGCAGGUAAUGGUGCAAGUCCUGCACCGUCUUGAGCUCUGGCCACUGCGAGCAGGAGCACCAGAGUCACCACAAACAGCCACAUCGCCCUGUGGAUGCUGAAUCCUGCCAUUAAUGUCUGCACAGAAAACUCGAAUUGAAGAUGGCUUACAGCUCCAUUUGAAGAUGACAUGUCAGCUGACAUUGCUGCUCACAGGGCCCUAUAAUGUCUCUCCCACAGCUAACUUGAGUAAUUUUGUGGUAUCAGGUAAGCAUUUUUGUGUUUCUUGUGUUUUGCUUCUCAUUUAAUGCCACUCUACCUUAGUACUACUUUCCUUUUAAUUGAACUUUACUUAAUAAUGGCCAGUGGACUUUGUAUUCAUCUUUUUGAUUUUAUUACUUUAGAUAUUAUUGAAUGUAAAUAGAAUCUUUUUGUACCCUGUUUUUUGGUUUGCGGCUUCAGUAUAGUUAUUACUAGAUUUUGAAGUUGCUGAAAAUGCAAAGCUUAAUCUCAAUCCACUCCACUAGUGUAAAUAGAACCUUGCGUUGAGUCAAAUAGGUAUGUGAAACAGAUUUGAAGGGCAAAUUGUAAUUUCCAUUCACUUGUCAUUGUUUUCAAACACAUUCAUCUUUCCCACCAUUUUCACGCUUCACAGUGUCAUUCUAAUACCAAUUUUAACAUUUCAUCGUAACCUUUAUUCCCUUCUAGUCUCUUAAACAAACCAUUAAAAUUCAUCAAGGUUUAGUUCAAAACUCUACUUUUCAUAUAUUUGGUAGUGCAUUAAUUUGACCAUCGCAGAUGCCUGUGUGUAUUCAGGCUACACUUAACUUUGUUCACCCAAGUGAGUUACAUGUUUGACACGUGACAAAUUUUUCGUUUUAAUUUCUUUUAAUAGAUUCUCUCUUUGUUAUUGAGGGGAUGCCUGAAGAGUUGUACAAAACUAUUGCUCUUUGGUUUGAAUCUUUUCGUUUUAGUAUUUGAGGUUUUAAAAGUUUAGAAGAUGUAAAAUGAAUCAUUAUGGUAUGUGGUUAUUAUAGAUUAUUAUCAAUUUUGUGUUAUAAUAAUAUGUAUUUGAGGUUAAUAGUGUUAUAGUCUUGUCUUAUUAUAGGUUGUGAGGUGCAGAAUUAUAGUUUGAGUUAUGAUAAUAUGUUUUUUAGUGUAGAUUAUUAUAGUCUAAAUUAUAGUCUUCAAUAAAAUAAAUAUUGGUUAUCU